GACGUAGGGCGCAAGCGUUGUCCGGAUUUAUUGGGCGUAAAGAGCUCGUAGGCGGUCUGUCGCGUCGGCUGUGAAAACCCGGGGCUCAACCCCGGGCCUGCAGUCGAUACGGGCAGACUAGAGUGCGGUAGGGGAGACUGGAAUUCCUGGUGUAGCGGUGAAAUGCGCAGAUAUCAGGAGGAACACCGGUGGCGAAGGCGGGUCUCUGGGCCGUAACUGACGCUGAGGAGCGAAAGCGUGGGGAGCGAACAGG
rnacentral:rRNA from 1 species